AUGCCACCUCCCGGAGCAAAGGGGGCUGUAGAUCUUCGCCAACGGUGGGGGCGGGGGGGUAAGCAUCCCGUCCAUCACAGGCGGCCUAACCGGUCCCCAGCUUUGCAGGGGAAGAGAAGGGCAGGCUGCCCGCCCUGGGCCGCCCGGCCACCCGCGCAUGCGCGGAGCUGGCGCCGCCACCAAACAUCUUCUAGACGCUCAUCAGUGGCGUCCCGAUCCUGUCCUUUUAUCUCCGGUUGUGCCUCGUGCUGCAUCCAAAGCAGUUUCGGAAUCUGUAGGCUGCUGGAGGACGAUGGGGUUGGAAAGAAACGAGGCAAGGAGCGCUCGGGCGGGGAACUACAAUUCCCAGGAGGCGCCGCGCUGGCCCCGCCCCUUGUGGGCGGGCCGAGGGCCCUCCCGCGGCUUAAAGCGGCGAGACGGAUUCCUUGCAGGCUCGCCCGGGGCUGAGCUCGCGCCUCGGGUUGCUAGUCGGGCCGCGGGGCCGCGGUGGUGUCUUUCUGCUUUUGCCUGUUUGCACUUCGACUAGCGAACAGCACAAAACAAAUAAACAAACAAUAGUUAAGCGCGUUUAGAGGCUG
rnacentral:lncRNA from 1 species